UUUAUUUAAUAGAUGCUGUAACAAAAGAACAUAUAAUUAGUUCUACUAUACUGUGUGCCCAUGAUACUUACCACAAGCUGUGAGCUCUCUCAUUGGCAUAUCCUGUACCCAGGGCUCUAUUUAGGUUUAGUACUGCCCUAGGCACCGGACCUUAGCCCUCUUUCUUUUUCUUGGCAAUCAGCGCCAUUGCAUUUAAUUUUCUUUGUUCUUUAAAUGGAGGCCCAGCUGUACUAGAACUGAAAGGUAAAGGCAUGGUUAGAGGCUACAUAUAUGUACAGUAUAUGUCACCAUAUCUCUUUUCUCAUUUCAGGGGAGAAAUGGGACACUAUAGAAGCCAGGGUCCACCUUAAAUAUCUUCAUAAACAGCUGCAGGCAAGCUUCCUGGGUAACAAGUACAAAUGCACCUCCAUCUAGGUACCUCCAGAAGCAUUAAGGAACCAAAUUCCACCUCAGUGCCUCUCAUUUCAUCCUUCGUAGUCCAACCAGCGGUGUCUCACCUCCCAUCCAACACAAUUCCACCAGCGGUGCAUCCCUUUCCAACUAAAAUAUGGCAUCAUAAACAGAAGUACC